CGCUUGCAAUUAAAUUCAUAUCAUUAACAUUGGGGAAGUGAUGUAAUAUUACUUUUACACAAGGAUUCAUUGCAGAUGGGUAAGUAUCUAGCCAUGCAGUACAUCUGCAUGACUUUGUAUGAAGCAUAAAUCACCUUUUUCUUGUGUUCAUCCAAUUAGGGCCCUUUAAAAGCCAUUAUCAUGACCUCCAAGUCAGGGCUGCACUAAUUUGACUGGGAUUUUGGUAUGAGUUGUUGUACAGACCUUAAUUACUCAUAUAACAAUGGGGUCCUUAAAGUUUUUGAUGAUACAUUUGUUGAAUUAAUAGAAUGUAUAUUCGUUCCUCUUUGAAUUGUCUCGAAUCAAUGUUAAGAUUUUAUUUUUGCCUUUUUUCCCUUACCAAUUUUCUUUACAGGCUUCGGAUGAUGUGAAUACUCAUUUUAUAUGCUUCGCAUGUGUGGAUGGGGAACUUUUUGAGCUUGAUGGGAGAAAGUCAGGACCAAUAUCUCAUGGUGCAUCCUCUCCAAGCACCUUGUUAUUGGAUGCAGCUAAAGUCAGAAAAAUCCUCACUCGCUCGACUUCAAUGUCAUAGCAGUUUCAAAGAAAGGUGGGGGUGCAGUUUAAGGUUGACGUUGUUCUCUUAUGAGGCAUUUACAAAUGGCUGAGAUUUUAUUUCUUGAGGCAUCACUGUACUGCAAGACCUUUUCCAGUUUUCUGGUGUUUGUAUUUGCAUCGUUUUUGUGUCUGGUCUGGUGAUCUGCUGGCCAUGGCUGUUGUUUGAUAGCUUAAAUUAAUAGCAAGGAAUGGUAAUUGGUUGUGGAUUAGGAUAUGCUGUUAAAAAGAGAUGCUUGAAGCUGUGUGUAAGAAUUUGGAGAUU